UUCCAGAAUUAAAUGCUGGGAUUUAAAAUCUGACUUGUGCAUUUACAGUGACAGUAACUUUUGAAUAUACAGAGACGCAGUCUGUGUUUGCAAACAGGACAAAACCACAGAGGAUUAAGACUGGCUUGGCAGCUGUAUAAAAACAUCAAAACGAGAGAUGUCCCUUGCAUACCCAUCUCCAUUGACCUCCAGAUCUGACAUGUAGAGCCUGGAGACUGCCCACUUUUCUGGGAGAAGAAUGUGCUUCGAAAUCAUCUAUGAGUCAGCCUGCGAGUUGGAGUUCAGAUAAGCCUGUAGCGUUUGUUCACCAGAUGGACUCUAAGCUCUUCAGAGUACAGGAAAGGAUAUUGCUUAUUAACAUUGCUUGAAACUUCAUUUAUUUYCUUGUACAAAGUCUGAUUACUGCAUUCAAUUUUAGACUAUCUGUUGUAAGGAGGAAGGACAGAGUAUUUUUAUAGCAURAUAGGUACAGUUUAGUAAAAAUUUUACUGGAAUAGACUUUUUCAUAUAAUUCUAGGUAGCCAAGAUUGAUACCUACCACCCCUCAGAUACACCCUUUAGAUUAUCUAUGCAAAGGGUUAAAAGCCAAUUUUCUUUCAGGAUUUUACAGCAAAUUAGCCAACUUAUAUUAGGUUUAAAACACCUCUUUGACAGUUAAGUGCAACAAUAAUAAUGCUUUUCUAUUAAAUAUCAAAUUGUUUUUUUCUCUCGUAUACUUGGGCUAGCUGCUAAUAGUCUCACAUAACAUGGACAUCAGAGAUUUUCAGACAAGUAAUUCUCCCUUGUGUUGCCAGAUUAAAUCUUUCUUGAUGCAACACAGAUCACUCAAGCUGCCAUCAUUCAUGAACGUGAUAAUCAGAAAAAAUCAAUUUUAUGG